rnacentral:rRNA from 1 species
CCUACGGGGGGCUGCAGUCGAGAAUCUUCCGCAAUGGGGGAAACCCUGACGGAGCGACGCCGCGUGCAGGAUGAAGGCCUUCGGGUUGUAAACUGCUGUCAGCUGGGAAGAAAAAGUCGGUGGAAAACAUUCACCGGCUCUGACGGUACCAGCAGAGGAAGCCACGGCUAACUCUGUGCCAGCAGCCGCGGUAAUACAGAGGUGGCAAGCGUUGUUCGGAUUCAUUGGGCGUAAAGGGUCCGUAGGCGGGUUGGAAAGUCGGGUGUGAAAUCCUACAGCUUAACUGUAGAAUUGCACUCGAAACUCCCAGCCUCGAGUGUGAGAGGGGUGAAGGGAAUUCCCGGUGUAAGGGUGAAAUCUGCAGAGAUCGGGAAGAACACCAGUCGCGAAGGCGCUUCACUGGCUCAUUACUGACGCUGAGGGACGAAAGCUAGGGGAGC